rnacentral:tRNA from 1 species
GUAGAUUUAGUUUAAAAGAAAAAACAUUUGAAUUGCAAUCAAAUAACCUAAGUUUAAAUCUUAGAAUCCACA